GACGAACGCUGGCGGCGUGCCUAAUACAUGCAAGUAGAACGCUGAAGAGAGGAGCUUGCUCUUCUUGGAUGAGUUGCGAACGGGUGAGUAACGCGUAGGUAACCUGCCUUGUAGCGGGGGAUAACUAUUGGAAACGAUAGCUAAUACCGCAUAACAAUGGAUGACACAUGUCAUUUAUUUGAAAGGGGCAAUUGCUCCACUACAAGAUGGACCUGCGUUGUAUUAGCUAGUAGGUGAGGUAAUGGCUCACCUAGGCGACGAUACAUAGCCGACCUGAGAGGGUGAUCGGCCACACUGGGACUGGGACACGGCCCAGACUCCUACGGGAGGCAGCAGUAGGGAAUCUUUGGCAAUGGGGGCAACCCUGACCGGGCAAAGCCGCGUGAGUGAAGAAGGGUUUCGGAUCGUAAAGCUCUGUUGUAAGUCAAGAACGGGUGUGGGAGUGGAAAGUUCACACUAUGACGGUAGCUUAACAGAAAGGGACGGCUAACUACGUG
rnacentral:rRNA from 1 species